rnacentral:lncRNA from 1 species
GAAACUUUUACAUUAUAAGUAUUAAAUGUGAAACUUACUACUUAGUAAAGCCAUAAAUCCCAUUUACAUUCACAAGACCAAUAUUCAAAUGGAAACUAUUCAUAUUGGUGAAGUAAACCGUUAACCCUUUAUAACCAUGGAAAUAAGUUUCCAAUUACAAUGAUCAAUAAAAAGCCCAAGGAUAAAUCACAAUUUGUUUGUGCUUUGUUUCUAUGUUCACAUGAUGCUUCAAAUUAAUCAGACUCCCCAAAUUUCAAUCCAUGUCUGCAAAACUUUGCAACAAGUCAAGUUAGAAUUUUAUCCAACUCUCAGUAAUCUUUUGUCAAAUAUAACACUAAUUCUUUGAACAUAACUCUUUAUCCGUAAUCACAAAAUCUGCAUAAUAUUAUUGAACCCAUGUUCCUAGGCAAAUGCUACUCUGAUAAUGGCAAAAGGAUUGUAUUUUUCAAGCAGAUAUAGAAUCUAUAAUCACAAUUCAACCAAACACAAUGGCCAGGCUAGGUAAGAACACUAUCAACUAUAGACUUUUCCUCCUAAAUUAUAGUAAAUUUUACCCCAUUCGAAGCCAAAAAUCAGACUAUGACGGGACCAAAAAUGGCUAAUUUAGUUCAAGAAAAAUUAAAUCUUCUAACUAAACUGAUUCAAUAAAGAAACCCCAGUAAAAUCCCAGCUCAGUUACCAACAUUAUUGACACACUAAUAAAGUAGAUCAAAAUCUAGUUACCAAUAUUAUUGAACUAAUAGAUAAAUCCAAUAACAUAAUAAAAAAUUUAAAAUCCAUUGAGAAUUACCAAUAAAACUUAUAAAAGUAAUCAUGUAAGCAGUAUUUUGAACCAUUUUUGUCAUAACCAUCAUAAAGAAAAGAAAAAAGAAGUUGAAGAAAAAAGAACAAAAGGGGGAGGCAGUGUGACAGAAAAAGAGGAAGGUGGUAUUGCGACGGCAAAAGGGGAAGGUGGUGGCACGACUACAUCAAGGGGUUAGAGACAACGCCUAUGAAGUUGAGAUUUGGUUUGAGUUUGGAGUAAGAAAGCAAGAGAAUUUGAGAUGGAUGUGGGCGACAUCUUCGCUGCACGACAGCGCGAUGGAACAAAGGAAGGAGGCCCUCAAAAGGCCAUGGCGGUGGUUUAAGUUUAGCAUAUUUGAGGGGAAGAGAGGAAGAGAGGAUCUGAUUUUUUUUUCUUU